rnacentral:rRNA from 1 species
GUAACACGUGGGUAACCUGCCUCAAAGAGGGGGAUAGCCUCCCGAAAGGGAGAUUAAUACCGCAUAACAUUAUUUUAUGGCAUCAUAGAAUAAUCAAAGGAGCAAUCCGCUUUGAGAUGGACCCGCGGCGCAUUAGCUAGUUGGUGAGGUAAGGGCGCACCAAGGCGACGAUGCGUAGCCGACCUGAGAGGGUGAUCGGCCACAUUGGAACUGAGACACGGUCCAGACUCCUACGGGAGGCAGCAGUGGGGAAUAUUGCGCAAUGGGGGAAACCCUGACGCAGCAACGCCGCGUGAGUGAUGAAGGUUUUCGGAUCGUAAAACUCUGUCUUUAGGGACGAUAAUGACGGUACCUAAGGAGGAAGCCACGGCUAACUACGUGCCAGCAGCCGCGGUAAUACGUAGGUGGCAAGCGUUGUCCGGAUUUACUGGGCGUAAAGAGUAUGUAGGUGGGUGCUUAAGUCAGAUGUGAAAUUCCCGGGCUUAACCUGGGCGCUGCAUUUGAAACUGGGCAUCUAGAGUGCAGGAGAGGAAAGUGGAAUUCCUAGUGUAGCGGUGAAAUGCGUAGAGAUUAGGAAGAACACCAGUGGC